UUUCUUUUUGUCCCCGAGACAGGGUUUCUCCAUGUAGUCCUGGCUGUCCUGGAACUCACUCUGUAGACCAGGCUGAACUCAAACUCAAGAGAUUCACCUUCUUCUGCCUCCAGAGUGCUGGGAUUAAAGGUGAAGGCUACCAUGCCUAGUUUUACUUCAGCUUCUUAAACUCUCCAUCACAUUUUGUUCAGCAAAGGACUGUGCGCUAUUCCCACUACUAAGCAGCAAGUGAAGGGACAGCUGGGGGGACUGGGCAGUGCACAAGAGACAGGAACUAUCGCAAGCCUUCCAAGGCACUCACCUGCUACAGAAGGCCGCAAUGGGGUCCACGCUGGUGACAUCUACUUCCUCAUCCUCAGCAGCAUCAGCCCCUGUAGGACGGAACAUUGGAGAGGUUUGAAGAAAUGGAAAACUGCUUUUUGCCUCAGAAUAAAAGGUUCACAAAACAUAAUCCAAGACUGCCAAAACCGUCUACAAUGCUCUGCAUCCAUGGAGGUAUUCCUAAAACCCACGAGACACUGCAAAGAAGUGGGUGCUACCUUUACUCCACUUUAUAGAGAUGAAGGAUUCAAGCUGAAGCAUUCUGCCCAAAGCUGUCUGGUAUCAGAGCUCAUGCUCUUGACCUUUCUCCAACUGACGAAGAUGUAACAGAAAACACGACCCAAGCUGAGCCUGAGUGCAUCUCUGUGCUUCGCAGGGUGCUGUAUGCAAAUCCUCAUUUAAUCAUCUGUGACUCACCAGGAGACACAGAUGAAAUGUCAAGAGCUGCUCGAGCACUGGUGACGCCUAUGAACCCUUAACUAGAGCAGAGAUUACGACUCCUCGAGCACUGUGGUAACUACAUAUGCUUAAGAGAAAAAGACAGCAGAUAAAGCACAAAAAUACAGUUACAACACACAGUAAGAACAUUAAGGAAACCAUCGCUUUUUCCUUUUGGAAAUACCGUCUGCAAUCGAGAGGCAUUACCUGUUUGCUCAGGCUCACUCUUAUCCUCAUCUUCAAUAUCAAACUCUGAUUCUCUUUCCUCAUAUUCUACAUUUUCAUCCAACUCUUUGAAAUCUGGUGCAAAUGCACUCCAGUUUUCCUAUGACAAGACAGACAAGUCACCACGUGAAAAAUCAGUAACAAUGUAAGUUCUGACAACUUAUAUUCAGCAUGAUACAGACUAAGCAUUCUAAGAUUCAGUUUGGGAUAAGAAAAUAAAAUCUUAGCUAUCUAAGUGUUUGCAAUCUUGAUGUAUUUUCUAUAUAAACAUUUUAAGUUAUUAACUGCAUUUCUUUUCUAAAUAACUACGUCCUUUAAUCUCUUUUAAGUGUACUUCACAAAGGUAGUUUAAAAGUGUUCACCGAUAUAAAAUGAACUGAGCUGAAAAUAAAAAAAAGCAAAAUAAUGUUCAAAGGUUGCAGAAAGUGUAUAUACAUGGAAACAAAGUUGGAAACCCACUCAGGACUAAGAAUGUCCCUCUGAAGUGAAGUGAAACUGAAUAUAAUGAACUUACUUAAUUAGGCUGCAAGGAUCAGAUGCAAAACAAAGCAAUUAAAGUAGUAUUUAGUUUACUGUGUAUAAAGAGUUUUUGACAAAAAGAAAUAUUUAGUUUCAAAGCAAAUCAACCAGAAAAAUACUUACUACUUGGUUCUGGGCCCAAAUGGACACCACUCCACUGGAAAUAGAAGCUAUGAUGGGUCGGACUGGAUGCCACUAAAUUGUAACGCAAGAAAGAGAAGAACUGUCAGAACAGACUUAAGCCAUUCUACAGUGUGUGAGCAACCAAAGCAAUACACUGCUCUACUUACAGCCACAUCCAGCAGGAGUUCUCCUCUGGUCCCAUGCAAGAUCUUCACCAGGUUGCCAAUGCUCUUCUCCCAGAUAUACAGUGCAUGCUGCCGGGCAGAGCCCGCCACUAUGUAUUCCCCAUCCCCAGAGAAGCAACAUUUUUUCCAUGGGGUCCUAAAAGACAAAGAACAUCCCCAAGAGAAACUGGAAAAGGAGCCCAGGGAAGGUCAGUUACAUCCUCUCCUGGCAACACCACCUACCUAUUCACCAAGUCCUGCAGUUUCUGCAUAGGCUCAGGCUCUCCAUCCCUUCCACACGUUAAAAUCUCUCUGCCGUCAUAAACUCUGAUUAUUCGAUCUGCUGUGUUAAUUAGAAAGCAACUACAGAAAGGAGAGAGAUUAUCGACCAGUCAGACGUCUGUCCCUGUUAACAAUUUCUAUCACUACUACUUAGACUAGCACCACAGACCAACUAGUUAGCUGGAGAGAAACUGAGAAUGGCCAAGAUUCGAUGCUUAUGUAUCUUCUUAUCACUCCAAACCAGUAAAGUGAAUAUAUAUGUGCUUUAUCCUGUGUAUCCCCAAACCUCAUGUCAACAUUGCCUGGACUUAACUGAGAUCCCAAGACCUCUGAACCAAAGUCAGCCUGCUCAAUUCACGAGUUCGUAAUGUGUAAUAUUCAAUAAUUAAAUACUGCACUUAUCUAGCCAA